rnacentral:rRNA from 1 species
CUUACCUGGUCUUGACAUCCACAGAAGUUUCCAGAGAUGGGAAUGUGCCUUCGGGAACUGUGAGACAGGUGCUGCAUGGCUGUCGUCAGCUCGUGUUGUGAAAUGUUGGGUUAAGUCCCGCAACGAGCGCAACCCUUAUCCUUUGUUGCCAGCGGUCCGGCCGGGAACUCAAAGGAGACUGCCAGUGAUAAACUGGAGGAAGGUGGGGAUGACGUCAAGUCAUCAUGGCCCUUACGACCAGGGCUACACACGUGCUACAAUGGCGCAUACAAAGAGAAGCGACCUCGCGAGAGCAAGCGGACCUCAUAAAGUGCGUCGUAGUCCGGAUUGGAGUCUGCAACUCGACUCCAUGAAGUCGGAAUCGCUAGUAAUCGUGAAUCAGAAUGUCACGGUGAAUACGUUCCCGGGC